rnacentral:rRNA from 1 species
CAAUAGCGUAUAUUAAAGUUGUUGCAGUUAAAAAGCUCGUAGUUGGAUUUCGGGACGGGCCAGUUGGUCCGCCGCAAGGUGUGUUACUGACUGGUCUGUUCUUCUUCGCAAAGACUGCGUGUGCUCUUCAUUGAGUGUGCGUAGGAUUUACGACGUUUACUUUGAAAAAAUUAGAGUGUUCAAAGCAGGCUAUCGCUUGAAUACAUGAGCAUGGAAUAAUGGAAUAGGACUUUGGUCCUAUUUUGUUGGUUUCUAGGACCGAAGUAAUGAUUAAGAGGGACAAUUGGGGGCAUCCGUAUUUCGUUGUCAGAGGUGAAAUUCUUGGAUUUACGAAAGACGAACAACUGCGAAAGCACUUGCCAAGAGUGUUUUCAUUAA